rnacentral:lncRNA from 1 species
GCAGGGUAGCUGGUGGCAGUCGCCUUCACAAGAAUUGGUAUGUGUUGUUUUUGCCAAUUAGAAUACCGCUUGAUUUUGAUAUAAAUGGGCUAUAUACUUAUUGCCCCAGACACAUUGUAAAUCAAUCUGAGAGAUUCAGAGACCAGUAUAAAACCAUUGGGUCUAAAGUUUGUACAAGUUUCUGUGAUUCAAUAUGGCACCCUGGUAUCUAGCUCUCCUCUUUUUUGGUGGGGCGCUAUAUUGGGGAUUUAACCUGCAGGCACUUUAUCACUGAGGUACAUCCCCAGCUCUUUUUACUUUAUUUUGAGACAGUGUCUCCCUAAAUUGCUGGCCUAGAACUUGUGAUCCUGAUCAUCCUGCCUCAUGCUGGGAUUAUAGGCAUGUGCCACCUUGCCUAUAUUUUGUAACUUUUUGAGUUGUUGAGUAGUCAGUGUGAAUGAACACACAUAUUUUAGUGUGCCUCAGAAUUAAACGUGUGAAUUCUGGACUUCUCUACUGCACUGGAGAUUCAAAGGUGGGUUUCCAUGGGUCAUUCUUUAUGGAAUGCUGUGUAAACAAAUGGGAAUCUCUGCUCUUUCUUAGUGGCAUGGACUUUAGUCGUCCUUUCUACUCUUUGCCUUCUAGUCUCAUUUUGGCCAUUGACAGUUAUGCUCCUGAGAAUGUAGCUUCAUUUUACUUUAAGUAGAAAUAACUGCCAAUCUUAUUCACUUUAUACUCCAUCCUAUCACUUGUUUCUUAGGCUCAUCAAAAAACUCUGUCCUCCCUUGCUUCCUUUUAGGACAUAGAAAUAUACAUUGUGUCUAGCUGUUUGCUUUUGUUAUACCCACCAGGUCUGACAUGGAGAAUAAAUGUGAAUUCAUACCUACUUCAUAGGUCAUUAUACCUUAACUUGCUAUUAUUGCCAUAGGAUUGAACAAAGGUGAAACUUGUCUUCAGGUGGCCUGUUGAUGAAGAUGUUACAUAGUAUCCAUAAAAUUCUAAUGCAUCUUUAGGACCUAAUUACAUGAUUCAUGCAUAGAAUGCCUUAAAUUGGUGUUUAAGUACAAAUGCAUGCACAUGUUUAAGGCCAACACAGUGCUAUUCAAAUAUAUUUUUAUUUCUAUACCACAACAGAUUUUCUACCAUUUUCUAGAACUCGAAAAAUUAAAGUCAAUGACAGCGGUGAGAAGAAAAUUUGCUGUGCAGUUUUCUGUUGUGCCUACAAUCUGAGUUAUUUAUGUUUAAAAUUACAUAUUUCAAAAUAUUUCAACACUGCCCAAAUGCUUUAUAAAGACCCAGUAUUUCUUUUCUUUAAGAAGUUCUGAUUUUGUUUAUUGAAGAAGCAAAAUUAUAAUCAAGGAACAUUGAAGAGAAAAUAAUUCACCAUCAAACACAUCAGCUGAUCUUAUUUAUUUCAAUUUUCUUUCUGUCUUUGUCCAUAUACUUGCAAUUCUAAGAGGUUUGUUUUCUAAUGUUAGCUCAACCAUUAGCAAGUAUGAUCCUGAGAAAGCAUCUUAACUUUAAUAAGUAUGAAUAAGUAUGUUACUUAUUCAUGUCAUUGGGUAGUUAUGGGGAUCGAAAGAUAAUACAGGUGAAAAUGCUUUGCAUACCAUAAAGUGCCUUUAAUGCAGAAAGGGUUGUCAUUUUGAUCUAAAGCUCUUAUUAUGUGACCAUGUCUUUUGUCUCUCCAAAAGCUGUUGGCAUCUGUUUUUAGAGAGUGACAAAUACAAAAUUCUCUUUUAGAGAUUAAAGAAUCUGUAAAGAUUUCAGAGUACUUGACCCAAAGAAGAAAAGGCUGAAAAGCUAGUUACUUAAUAUCUUCAACUAUGCAAAGUCUCUGAUAAAGGGAGAGUGGGAACCAGCUGCUAUCCUUGUCUCCAGAUGUAAAUAAAAAAGUUAUGGGUUUCAAUUGAAGAGGAAAUUUAAGUUAUUUUAAGAUCAAUUUCCUGAGCAUAGGGAUUGUUAUUAAUGAGACUGGGAUAGGUAGCAUAGGUUCUAUUGCUUUCAAACUUGAAGAAUGUUACAUUUGUCUUUUGUCAUAUACAGGUAUAAAAUAAGCUGGUGGAUUCUGUGGCUCAGCAGUUCAGACAGAGCAUGGAGGGAAUGGCUUAUCACUGCUCCACAGUGACUGGUGCUUCAGUUGGGAAGACCAAAAGGCUGAGGAUCACUUACAUAAAGGGGUCGGAGUUACCUGUAGGUUUCUUCACUGAUGUGUCAAAUGCCUAGGGUCAUAUUGGGCCUCUCUCUCCCUGUGUGUCAUACCUUAUUGCUCAAGUUUUCUCCAAGAUGGCCAUCUCAGGGUGGCCGAUGACAUCUUCCAUUAUUGCUCAGAGCCCCAAGAGUAACUAUGAAAGUUGUAUGGAUUUUUAAACACUUAUUUAUAAAAAUCAUAAGACUACUUUUUUGUCUGAUUUUCUAACAAAGUUAUUGAGGUAUAAUGGUUAUACCAAAAAAACUACACAUAUUUAAUGUGUGUAAUCUGAUGAGUUUGAGCACACAUGGAUAUCUGUGAUACCUUUGUUACAGUUAAGGCAAUAAAUGUACUUAGCGCCUCCCUCAGUUUCCUUGUGCCUCCCCCUCCCUUUUAUAAUAAUGUUUAACAUGAGAUCUACCCUCUUCACAAAUUUUUGAAAUAUACAAUAUCGUACUGUUCACUAUAAGUACCAUGUUAUGCAACGGAUCUCAAAACUUAUUCAUCUAGAAUAACUGAAACUUUAUACCCAUUUCCCCCAUCUCCAGUUCCUGGAAACUGCUAUCAUAUUCUCUGCUUCUAUGGGUUUGACUCUAUUAGAUACUUCAGAUAAGUGGAACCAUGAAGUAUUUGUCCUUCCUUGACUGGCUGACUUCAAUUAGCAUAACAUCCUCUAGGUUCAACUGAAUUGUCAUAAAUGGAAAAAUUUCUUUCUUCUCAAAGACUGAAUCAUAUUCCAUUGUGUGUGUGUGUGUGUGUGUCCCAUAUUUUCUUUAUCCAUUCUGUAGAGGGACCCUG